GCCUCUGUGGUGAAACUGGUAGACACGGCAGACUCAAAAUCUGUUUCCUGCAAAGGAGUAGGAGUUCGAUUCUCCUUGGAGGCA
rnacentral:tRNA from 1 species